AGCCAAUUAGAACUAUCUCAUAGACUUUAUUAGCUGCACCUGUGCCCACAGCUUGGGCUUUUUUGUUGCAUGUGGUUGUACUGUGCAGAGGACUGAGUUUCACUCCUUUCAUUCUGUGUUUUCGCUUUGUGUGCGUAAUUGACCAUAAACCACAUGCACUCAUGCACAUCAUGCACAAAUCCUCCUUGGAUGUACAAUAAACUUUCCUAUACCUGGUUUGACUAGACUGGACCUGUUCUUACCGACAGCCCUACUGGCUUCAAGCUAGCUACCUAAACAUCAGCAACCUCCUUUUUAAGAUCCUCCUUUUCAGCGUGGUGAAAUUCGUGGCAGAAAAACGAUCUGUGCUGUUCAACACCCCAGAUGCUUCCAGAAUGGUGAUAACCAAGCGUCCGUUGACCGUCCAGGUCAUGACGGAUGGGGGCUGAGUUGUGCUGCAGUUGAACCGAGCCUUCGAACCACGGAGCACCGCUGCAUUCAGAGGCUGUAGCGGCACCUGAGCGGACACCACUGCAGUCAACGACACACAAAUAACAAAUGAUUCCAAACAGCUGGUUUUGUUUACAUCCAGUUAUUCAAAGCAUGUUUUCUUGUUUUUCUUCUCACCGUAAAUCAUGUUUAAAGUAAAUGAGCAUUAAGGAUAAUUAUGGAAUAUUUACUCUUAAUACCCUAUACCCCCCCCAAUUAAUAUAGAGCUGAUAAUACUAGAUAAAAAACUAGAUAAUAUACAGACCAGGGCUAGGGGCUCACAGUGGCUAUAUUGCAGUGAGUAUGAGGUUUUGAGUCAAAAGACAAUAAUGAAUUACACAAAUUUGUGGGUUUUGUUUGUGUUUUUGUUCUAGCAGUGAAUGUUUGUCAAAUUUAUCCUUCAAUCUUAAAUGAACGAAUUAAAUAAAGCUAAAUCAAAUAUUUAAACCAACAUCAUCCUAUACUUUUCUAAAAUGACCACAUAUUGGCAUAUGUUUUGCACAAUUUAUUAAUAACUUGUUACAGAUUUGAUUAUCUCAACUUAAUUCAUAUAAUGUGACAAACAAAUAUAAAACUACUCUGAGAAAUACUGACUGGAAUAACACGUGACAACUUGCCCAACUUUCAGUGACUUUUCCAAGCCUGCAAACCACAAUUUUCAAAUUCUCUGAUACUUCCACCCCAA